UCUGCCUCUCUGCCAACUGCCAAACAUCAUCCAUCCAAGGGAAGGGGAGGGGGGGAUGCGUGUUCCAAGCAGCGCAUUUAGCGGUAUUUAACUUUGUCUAGAAUCAUGGCUGGAUGUAGGCACGAGGCAUCGCUCAGAGCAGUCAAAAAUAGGAGACGCUUAAGAGAUGUGAACUUCUCUCAUUGCACCUAACUCAAGAGCGAAGACACCGAGGGACCCCGAAGGCUGCUGGCUGUGCAGACUGGUCUCUGUGUCAGAGAGGCAAACACGCUGAUGAAGAAGCAUUUGAGGAAGGCAAACAAACCAGCUAUAACAAGACCAG
rnacentral:lncRNA from 1 species